AUGUCACUUUUCGUUUGGAUUCCCCGUGACGCUGAUUCCGUUGCUUUACCGGCUGAGA
rnacentral:snoRNA from 1 species